rnacentral:rRNA from 1 species
AGAGUUUGAUCCUGGCUCAGGACGAACGCUGGCGGCGCGCCUAACACAUGCAAGUCGAACGAGCGAGAGAGAGCUUGCUUUCUCGAGCGAGUGGCGAACGGGUGAGUAACGCGUGAGGAACCUGCCUCAAAGAGGGGGACAACAGUUGGAAACGACUGCUAAUACCGCAUAAGCCCACGGUGCCGCAUGGCACAGAGGGAAAAGGAGCAAUCCGCUUUGAGAUGGCCUCGCGUCCGAUUAGCUAGUUGGUGAGGUAACGGCCCACCAAGGCGACGAUCGGUAGCCGGACUGAGAGGUUGAACGGCCACAUUGGGACUGAGACACGGCCCAGACUCCUACGGGAGGCAGCAGUGGGGAAUAUUGCACAAUGGGGGAAACCCUGAUGCAGCGACGCCGCGUGGAGGAAGAAGGUCUUCGGAUUGUAAACUCCUGUUGUUGGGGAAGAUAAUGACGGUACCCAACAAGGAAGUGACGGCUAACUACGUGCCAGCAGCCGCGGUAAAACGUAGGUCACAAGCGUUGUCCGGAAUUACUGGGUGUAAAGGGAGCGCAGGCGGGAAGACAAGUUGGAAGUGAAAUCUAUGGGCUCAACCCAUAAACUGCUUUCAAAACUGUUUUUCUUGAGUAGUGCAGAGGUAGGCGGAAUUCCCGGUGUAGCGGUGGAAUGCGUAGAUAUCGGGAGGAACACCAGUGGCGAAGGCGGCCUACUGGGCACCAACUGACGCUGAGGCUCGAAAGUGUGGGUAGCAAACAGGAUUAGAUACCCUGGUAGUCCACACCGUAAACGAUGAUUACUAGGUGUUGGAGGAUUGACCCCUUCAGUGCCGCAGUUAACACAAUAAGUAAUCCACCUGGGGAGUACGACCGCAAGGUUGAAACUCAAAGGAAUUGACGGGGGCCCGCACAA